AGAUUGGAGUAUAAUUGAAAACUCACACUUGUAGAUCCCAAAUAGAUAGUACAUAUAGAAGUAAGAGUAAAGAGGGCUUUACUCUUGUCAAUUCCUUUCUUGCUUCUAGUCUAGUUUUAAGAAUCUCUAGUUUCCUUGUCUUUUGGUAAUAGCUAUUUUAGUUUCUUUUUUAAUACACAUACUUCUCUAUUUCUAUUUUUUCAUAUUUUUUUGAGAGAAUAUAACUUGUUUAUUUUAUUUCAUCAAUUUUUUUUUGAUAACCUUGGCAAAUCUGCAUAUCAAUAACAACCAACAAAAAUCCAACUUACCUUUCAAGCUAUUA
rnacentral:lncRNA from 1 species